GUGAGUAUAGUUUAUAAAAACACUAGAUUGUGACUCUAGAAAUAGAAACUUAAUAUUCUUGCACACC
rnacentral:tRNA from 1 species